ensembl:snRNA U6 U6 spliceosomal RNA
GUGCUCCCUUUGGCAGCAUGUAUACUAAUGUUGGAACAAUAUAGUAGAGAUUAGCAUGGCCCCUGCUCAAGGAUGACACACAAACUAGUGAAGCAGUCCAUAUUUCU